UUUGCGGAAGCAUUUGCUCAGCGAGAUACUCUGGCAACGAGUAAUGAUGCACAUAACUUUUGCUCCUUGCAUCACGGGGAACCAAUCACAUAUGUGUAUCUGAUAUAGGCGGGUUAAACAGCCCCUCGAGUUGGGCUAUUACAUUAUUCGUGGCCAGACCCUUAAUCUUUGGGUCUGGAAUCUCCAGGCUAGUCCACUGCAGUGUUUUAGAAAGAAAAUGAUUCAAGCUAUCUUAGUGGAAAACCAAAGUUCUCUUACAUGAACUAUAGCUAUCGUGUUGCAUGUGGGAGUAUUGAGUGGACUCAUCAAUAUUGCCCACCCUUCAAAUUAGGGCUAUUGUAAAUAUAUGCAGUACAUUUUGCAAAAUAAAACAUUGAAACAGC